GGGAGGAAGGCUCUUGGGUUGUAAACCUCUUUUCUCAGGGAAUAAAAAAAUGAAGGUACCUGAGGAAUAAGCAUCGGCUAACUCCGUGCCAGCAGCCGCGGUAAUACGGAGGAUGCAAGCGUUAUCCGGAAUGAUUGGGCGUAAAGGGUCCGCAGGUGGCAAUGUAAGUCUGCUGUUAAAGAAUGAGGCUCAACCUCAUACCAGCAGUGGAAACUACAUAGCUAGAGUGCGUUCGGGGUAGAGGGAAUUCCUGGUGUAGCGGUGAAAUGCGUAGAUAUCAGGAAGAACACCGGUGGCGAAAGCGCUCUACUAGGCCGCAACUGACACUGAGGGACGAAAGCUAGGGGAGCG
rnacentral:rRNA from 1 species